UGAACACCAAUCUCCACAGCCCGCGGUUUCUUCCAGUGUUUGGCGACGGACCGUCUGGGGUCGGGCCCGGGGCGUUCCCCCGCCGAGCGGCGUCCUCAGGAUCAAAGGUUCUUAUUAACCGGUCCUCACCACCAGUCACCAGUCACCCGUCACCAGUCACCAGUCACCAGACACCAGUCCCCAGUCGCCUUCCUGGAGCCUGGAGGUUGAAGGAAGCGUCGGCUCCAGGCCAGAGUCGUUAGGGCUGAAAACACAACGCGGAGGUUUGGCUGUGACAUAGCGACUACUACCGGAGGGUGUUCAAGGUGGUGUACAAGGGGGUGUACAAGGUAGUGUACAGGGCGGUUACAGGUGGUGUACAGGGCGGUUACAGGUGGUGUACAGGGCGGUUACAGGUGGUGUACAGGGGGUGAGGUGUUGGUGUAUAAGGGGGUGUAGAGUUGGUGUAUAAGAGGGUGUAGAGUUGGUGUAUAAGGGGGUGCACAGGUGGUGUUUUAGGUGGUGUAUCAGACGAGGAAUGCGCCCCUGGUUAUGCUUCUCCCUGUCCACCCAACCGGUUUGGUGGCUCUGCCUCUCUUUGUGCUGCUCUGAAUGGAGUGUAUUGGAUCCAUUGGGUGGCAAAAGGGCACACAGAUUACUUUUGGGCAAUUUUGGCAACUAUCAGCAUGAUCAGAUUCAGUCUCAGGCUUGUGCUUUAAGUUACAUGUCUCUAGAAUGAUUAGAAGGUCAAGUGUUGAAAUGUCUUUAUGACUACUGGGGUGUGAACAGACAACAAGCAAACAAACCAUUUGAGACCAACUGUUAGGUGCCUUUAUUUUCUGAAUAAAGCAGUUGCAAAGUGCGAUGUAUAAAAAAAAGUUGACAUCCCUUUAGACUCAUUAACCCAUUACAGAGAUUCAGCAGAAAAAAAGAGAGAAAAUAUAAAUAAUCAUUUUUGGUAAUCGACAUUGUAACCAGCCAAGCUUUACCGUAAAUAUAAACAUAUAAUACCGUUUCAAUAAAGUUGUGUUCAAUUUGAUCAACGACAACAAGCCUUUCACCUAAAGUGGAAAAGUGUGACAGAACCCCCCCC
ensembl:lncRNA